GAUUGACGCUGCCGGCAUGCUUUACACAUGCAAGUCGAACGGUAACAGGGAGCUUGCUCCGCUGACGAGUGGCGAACGGGUGAGUAAUAUAUCGGAACGUACCCAAGAGUGGGGGAUAACGUAGCGAAAGUUACGCUAAUACCGCAUACGAUCUAAGGAUGAAAGCAGGGGACCUUCGGGCCUUGUGCUCCUGGAGCGGCCGAUAUCUGAUUAGCUAGUUGGUGAGGUAAAGGCUCACCAAGGCGACGAUCAGUAGCUGGUCUGAGAGGACGACCAGCCACACUGGAACUGAGACACGGUCCAGACUCCUACGGGAGGCAGCAGUGGGGAAUUUUGGACAAUGGGCGCAAGCCUGAUCCAGCAAUGCCGCGUGAGUGAAGAAGGCCUUCGGGCUGUAAAGCUCUUUUGUCAGGGAAGAAACGGUAGAGGCUAAUAUCCUUUGCUAAUGACGGUACCUGAAGAAUAAGCACCGGCUAACUACGUGCCAGCAGCCGCGGUAAUACGUAGGGUGCAAGCGUUAAUCGGAAUUACUGGGCGUAAAGCGUGCGCAGGCGGUUUUGUAAGUCUGUCGUGAAAUCCCCGGGCUCAACCUGGGAAUUGCGAUGGAGACUGCAAGGCUAGAAUCUGGCAGAGGGGGGUAGAAUUCCACGUGUAGCAGUGAAAUGCGUAGAGAUGUGGAGGAACACCGAUGGCGAAGGCAGCCCCCCGGGUCAAGAUUGACGCUCAUGCACGAAAGCGUGGGGAGCAAACAGGAUUAGAUACCCUGGUAGUCCACGCCCUAAACGAUGUCUACUAGUUGUCGGGUUUUAAUUAACUUGGUAACGCAGCUAACGCGUGAAGUAGACCGCCU
rnacentral:rRNA from 1 species